ensembl:lncRNA
CGCUUGUCCAUCCUGGUGAUCUGACGCAUGAUCUUGUGUGCAUCUCCCCGGGCACUUUUUUUCCUUUGCAUAUCAGCUCACUUCACCCACUUACUCACAGCUGAUUGCACACACUGUGAUUCGACUGCACCCACUUACUAAAUACAUGCACCUAAAGCCAGAGGAAGAAAGAGGAAGGAGUCACCAUUUGCGCCUUAAAGCGGAUUGUGCAUCACUGCAGGCUCUCUCACGCUCGCCGGCUUCAUACCAGCUGAUGCACAGCAGUUCUUCACUGGCAAGCUUUAUGUUUCUGUACACAUGCUAAAGCUGCCAGCUGAAGAACUGCUCUGGCCAGCUCUGCUCCCGGAAGGCUCAAGAAGAGGAAGCAGAUGACGGGUGAUGGGAAUUUGGCUGAAGAGGACUUUUAUAACCUGUAAGAUUGGACCAGAAACAUUGUAUAGAUUAUAGGCAGACAUGUUAUCCUUUUCCCACCAAAAACUGCUUGAAUUGUGUUUUUUAUGUCUUUUAAUAAAGCACAAAAUAUUUUCUCAGA